rnacentral:rRNA from 1 species
GACGAACGCUGGCGGCGUGCUUAACACAUGCAAGUCGAACGGAAAGGCCCUGCUUUUGUGGGGUGCUCGAGUGGCGAACGGGUGAGUAACACGUGAGUAACCUGCCCUUGACUUUGGGAUAACUUCAGGAAACUGGGGCUAAUACCGGAUAGGAGCUCCUGCUGCAUGGUGGGGGUUGGAAAGUUUCGGCGGUUGGGGAUGGACUCGCGGCUUAUCAGCUUGUUGGUGGGGUAGUGGCUUACCAAGGCUUUGACGGGUAGCCGGCCUGAGAGGGUGAACGGCCACAUUGGGACUGAGAUACGGCGCAGAAUCCUACGGGAGGCAGCAGUGGGGAAUAUUGCACAAUGGGCGGAAGCCUGAUGCAGCAACGCCGCGUGCGGGAUGACGGCCUUCGGGUUGUAAACCGCUUUCGCCUGUGACGAAGCGUGAGUGACGGUAAUGGGUAAAGAAGCACCAGCUAACUACGUG